rnacentral:rRNA from 1 species
ACUCCUACGGGAGGCAGCGAGGUAGGGGAAUUAUUGCAACAAGUGGGCGACAACGCCUGAUGCACGCCAUGCCGCGUGUAUGAAGAAGGCCUUCGGGUUAGUAAAGUUACUUUCAGCAGUGAGGAAGGGUGGGUAUGUUAAUAGCAUACUCUAUUUGUACGUUAGCUGCAGAAGAAGCACCGGCUAACUCCGUGCCAGCAGCCGCGGUAAUACGGGAGGGUGCGAGCGUUAAUCGGAAUUACGUGGGCGUAAAGCGCAUGCAGGUGGUUUGUUAAGUCAGAUGUGAAAGCCCGGGGCUCAACCUCGGAAUUGCAUUUGAAACUGGCAAACUAGAGUACUGUAGAGGGGGGUAGAAUUUCAGGUGUAGCGGUGAAAUGCGUAGAGAUCUGAAGGAAUACCGGUGGCGAAGGCGGCCCCCUGGCAGAUACUGACACUCAGAUGCGAAAGCGUGGGGAGCAAACAGGAUUAGAUACCCUGGUAGGCACUGC